rnacentral:lncRNA from 1 species
GCUAGGUCAUGGUGACUUCUCUGCCGCAAAUACAAAAGUGCUGAGAAUGGUUAAUACACUUGCAGUUGAUAAUGAGGCCAAACAAACUAUUGAGGCCUUACGAACUGAGUUGCAGAAGACCAAGGAGAAGUUGCAAGCUGUAGAAGAAUUGAAGAGUCAGUCAGGUAUCAAGCACAAGCAAUUUACCUUGAACAAUUAUUUUAUUUUCCAUUCCAAAUUUGUUUUCUUCAUUACAUUUCUGUUCUGAACCUUCCAAUACUUUUGAUCAUAUAGUUUCAUGAUGAUUAAUUGUUCAGGUGAUGCGGGCAAGCUGGUGGACUCCUAUAUCUCUGGGAAGAUAACACAAUUAAAAGAACAAAUUGCAACUCUUGAAAAACGUGAAGAAAGGCGAGUGAUGUUCACAAAGUACUUCGAAUUCUUGCAUUUUUAAACCAUUAUUCAAUUUUAUCAUAACCCAAAGCGUUUGAUUUUAUCCAUUGAACAGAUACAAGACUGUUUUUGCUGAUAGAAUCUCUGUGUUUCGAAGGGCAUGCUGUGAACUUUUUGGCUACAAGGUAUCAAAUGUUUCUCACUGCAUUUGCAGUUUGACACCUAUAUUGGAUUUACCAAUUUCAUUUAAAUUUGAUGGUAAUUGGGCCAUGGAAAGUGUCAUUCUUUCUGUUUCAAGCUCCAAUUGUGAUAGUUUAACCCUUCAUUGUCUGUUUUUAAAUAAAAAAAAAGGCAUAAAGCUUAGUUGCUAGGACAUUCCAAGGUACUAAGAUAUUCAUUGGAGGCAUAGGUUCCACUGACUCUUUCUCAGGUCAUUAUGAAUCAGUUAGGGAGCUGCUGUCUUUUACUUGAGUAUAAUUGGCUUUUGCUCUUCCUUUGCCCACAUCUUUUGCAGAUUGUAAUGGAUGAACACCAGCGUUCUAAUGGAAUUCCAGUUACUCGGUUUACCCUGCAAUCGGUCUACGCCCAAAGUGAUGAUGAGAAACUUGAGUUUGAAUAUGAAUCAGGGAAUACAAACAUUUUGGUAAGUUAGCAAAUUUAGGUUACAUAGAGGUGCCUGAUGUCCUUGAGAAAUUAUUCUACUGACAAUAAAACAUGCUAGUUGUGUCUUGGUGGCAUUCGAACUGGAAAAUGAUUUCCUGCAUAAAAAAACUUUUCCUUUGGUGGAAAAGGAGUGAAUAUUUUAAUUACAGUUUGUCAUCUUUUCUUUUUUCUGGGUUUGGGCAAUGGGAUGCAAAAUACUUUUUUGGUCCGUUGAUUUUAGUGAAGAAUUUUGAACUUUC